rnacentral:rRNA from 1 species
CACGUAGUUAGCCGGUACUUAUUCUUCCGGUACCGUCAUCCCCCCGGGGUAUUAGCCCAGAGGAUUUCUUCCCGAACAAAAGCGGUUUACAACCCGAAGGCCUUCUUCCCGCACGCGGCAUGGCUGGAUCAGGGUUGCCCCCAUUGUCCAAAAUUCCCCACUGCUGCCUCCCGUAGGAGUCUGGGCCGUGUCUCAGUCCCAGUGUGGCUGGUCGUCCUCUCAGACCAGCUACGGAUCGUCGCCUUGGUAAGCCUUUACCCCACAACUAGCUAAUCCGACAUCGGCCGCUCCAAUAGCGCGAGGCCUUUCGGUCCCCCGACUUUCACCCUCAGGUCGUAUGCGGUAUUAAUCCGGCUUUCGCCGGGCUAUCCCCCACUACUGGGCACGUUCCGAUGCAUUACUCACCCGUUCGCCACUCGCCGCCAGGCCGAAGCCCGCGCUGCCGUUCGACCUUGCAUGUGUAAAGCAUGCCGCCAGCGUUCAAUCUGAGCCAGGAUACAAACUCU